GUUUUCGGCUGUGAUGGGCACCCUGCAGGUGGGACACUGGCUGACUUUCUUUAACCACAUCUCCAUGCAGCUGGAACAGAACACGUGGUGGUUGGCACAGAUGACGGGCUGCCUGACCUGCAGAAGCAAACCUCGAGGGGCACGUGAAGAGCGGAGAAGCGCGGGAGGGAUUGCUUUCAUUCAGGGAAGGAGAGGCGAAAAAGCCUUCCAGCAGAGCCCACUCCAGCUCAGCUCCUCUCCCCGUGUGCCUGUCCGUCUCGUCUCUGCCGAGGCCAGCUGACCAGUCCUUCUGGGCUGACCGGCCGCCAACCAGACCGGCAGCUCUCCUGCUCCAACGCUGGUGGACUGUGAUGCAGGCAGGAGCAGCCGGCUGCCUAGUGGCCUCUGACAUUUGCUGGGGAGAAGAGGUGGUGUGCUCAGCGCUCUUGGUCUGCUGCGAUCAAGCUUCAGGGUCUUGACCUGCAUAUUAAGGGAAACAGUGAAGAAUGGGUGUCACAGAAAAGCCAGCCAAACAACAAAGUCCUCUUUUACUCUGAAGAAGACAACCACCUAAGCGAGAUGAAGCAGAUGAGACCAGGCACCUUUCCAUCAUCAGCCACUGCAAGCUUCUACAUGAAGUCCAAUGAUUUUAACUUAAAACACUAAAUGAAAGCAUUCAUUUGGAGGAAGCAGGAAAACUAAAGAAUCUGCAGACUAAUUUAGCACACAAUAUGACCUACUAUGAUCUGUAUUACAAAUCCUAAAGAAUAAUAAAUUAUGCUCUCCCUUGACCGUUUUGACUGAAGUCUAGAAGAAGGAUUUUUAUCCCAUCUAGAAAACAUGAGCAAACGGCAGUUUUGAAAAAUAUCCUCUUUCAAGACAAAUCCAAAUGUCAGAGAGACAGAUAUUUUACACACAGAGAGUGAUGCCUUCUGGGCGUCAAGCUGAAAAGCUUCGGAGUAACAUUUUUUCCCAGUUGGAGCAAACUGCAAUUACCCAUCAUCAAGUAUAAAAAGCAAAAUGAUUGCACUCCUUUAGCCUGGAGAGGAACUUGGUCACUGUUUGCAAAAUCCCACAAAGAAGGCUCAAGAAAAGUGUUACUGAGAUCAGAUAUACUGAAUUUAUGUCACUAUGAUUAGUCAGAUAAUAAAGUCAUCUGACAACCUAUUUAACUACUACUGUUUCCAUAGCUCCAAACCAUAAUGUAAAUGAGUAGUUCCAUAUUCAGAGGUGUAAUUGUUUAUUAAAUAUGGUGCAUCUUACAGAUGUGAACGUUUUAUCUUUAUGCAUUUGUAGACCGAACAUAUUUAAAUUGCAACAUAAACAAAAUUAAACAUUUGAUGCUAUUA